GGGGGCCACAGCAGGGGGCGGGUUCAUGAAGAGGAGGGGCAUAGCCCAGGAGCACCAGGAUUGGGCACAACAGGGAGAGUCGCCAGAGGGGGCUGAGCUUGGCUACAGGAUGAGGAGGGGUGUGGCCAGGCUCUUCAGCCUUGGGCAUCCUUGGGCUGUCAUGGGAGGAGCCGGGUUCAAGAAGAGAAGUGGUGUAGCCCAAAAGCACUAGGAUUGGGCACAACAGAGUGGCUAAUGGAAGGGUUGGAGCUUGUUCACUUGAGAGGCGUGGCCAGGACACCUCAGCUUUGGUGUUCUGGUGCUGGGUCAUGGGAGGAGUGGGGCUGGUCACACCAGGAGGUGGGCCUGGGUUCAGGAGGAAGAGUUGCACAGCUCCAAAGUGCCUGGAUUGGGCACAACUUGGCAGGUCACGGCAGGGGGUGGAGCCAGGGCACCUCAGCUGUGGGUAUCCUUGGGCUGUAAUGAGAGGGGCGGGGCCUGGGUUCUGGAGGAGGAGCUGUGUGGCAGGGGUGGGGCAGGAUUGGGCACACCAGGGCGAGUCACAGGAGAAAGAGCCUGGUCUGGUCACCUCUCAGGUCUGGGCUCCCUGGGGCCAGUCACAGUAGUGUCCAUCACUGAGCCAGUGGCAAUGCCCUACCAGCCUGGCCUUCUGAGCCCAUUUGCACCACUGGAUAGAGGGUAUGAAGAAGGGGAGACUUGGUGGUGUCCACCCACAACGACAGUACCCAGAAUUCUUGGCCUGACAGGCCACACCCAGGACCACAGUACCCAGAAAACUCUGCAUGCCCCAAUCAAGAACUACACUACCCAGAAUCCUUGGUGUGACCCCCGCAGACUAAAGUACCCAGAAGAUUAUGCAUGCCCACCACAGGCAAAACCCUUAGCCCACCCCUCCCCCAUUAUGGUACUCAUAAUCCUCAUUGUGACUCUCCCUCCCAGAACUACAGUAUCCAGAAACUUUUGCGUGUCAUUCCCCUCCCCAUCAUGGUUCACAGUAUCCUCCCCAGGACACCACUUCCCCCAUGACUAUGGUACCUGGAAGGCUCGCUGUGCCUCCCACCACCACAAGGAUCAAGAUCUUCCAGUGCUUGAUUUUUGUAUGGUUGUCUAUAAUGGCAGUACAAGUCCAGUUUUACCUUUUUCCUAGUUUCUAUCAACUUCCCAAAUCAAUUUUCUUUUAACGCAGUUUUUACACUCUGAUUUGUGGUUUUAUUAUUGACUUUAAUGCAGUGCAAUAAAGUAUGUAAUACACUAUAUAUGCAU
rnacentral:lncRNA from 1 species